AACGAACGCUGGCGGCGCGUCUUAAGCAUGCAAGUCGAACGGCAAGAGAAGAGCUUGCUCUUCUCCUAGAGUGGCGGACUGGUGAGUAACACGUGGGUGAUCUACCCUUGGGAUGGGGAUAGCCGUUAGAAAUAGCGGGUAAUACCGAAUACACUCAUUUUCAUAAAGGGAGGUGAGGAAAGGAAGCUAUGGCUUCGCUCGAGGAUGAGCUUGCGUCCCAUUAGCUAGUUGGUGAGGUAAGAGCCCACCAAGGCGACGAUGGGUAUCCGGCCUGAGAGGGUGAGCGGACACAUUGGGACUGAGAUACGGCCCAAACUCCUACGGGAGGCAGCAGCUAAGAAUAUUCCGCAAUGGACGGAAGUCUGACGGAGCGACGCCGCGUGGAUGAAGAAGGCUGAAAAGUUGUAAAAUCCUUUUGCUGAUGAAGAAUAAGGGUAGGAGGGAAUGCCUAUCUGAUGACGGUAAUUCGGC
rnacentral:rRNA from 1 species